rnacentral:lncRNA from 1 species
AUAAGGUAUUUACUCUGUUCUCCAGAAAUUUAUGACCAAAUAAUGAAAAGACGCCCUCACCCAACUCUUAAUAAUCAGGCAUAAUAGGAACUUUAAUAAAUUAACCAUCAGCUGUGGAAUUUAAAAUGAGGGGGGAGUGGUUUAGUUUGUCUUUCCCAGAGAUUCUUUCACAUGUCUCCCAAAUAUUAUCAAAAGUCUGCAGCUGCCAUGCCCUAGAAGUGGAGCUGAUAACAAGAUACCUACUGGCCCUAACCUGGGGAGUUGGGGUCACAGCCCCUCCCUGCUGUAUCAUCAAAGGCAGCCAGGCUUUUGGUGCCUUCUGUUGCUCCGAGGACGAAGACGGAUGACACCCUGCACUGUCAGCAUCCUGUGUGGUGUCUGGCCCUGCAUCUUCAGCCUCAGCCAUGCCCUGGGCUCUUAGGUCUUUGGGCUUGCCAGUCUUUUCUCUUGAGAUUUCUUUUGUAUGGAGUGCUUGUUGCACUUCUUCUGCUUCCUGGUCCUGCUUUAAAUGCCAUCUCUUCACAAAAGCCUUCCUUGACCUUCCAGACAAAAUCCAGUGAUCUUAUUACUUGCUUUAAAAUCCAUGUGUAUUCAGGCACCCUGCCUGUCUCCUUCGAAGCACCUUUUCAAUUUAUUUAAAGGGUUGAUGGCUGCCUUUCCUACUAGAAUGUCAACAACAAGGGAGCAGGAUUCAUGUGUCUUUGUUUGACAUCUGUCUCCUCAGUGGCAAGCAUGAUGCUCAAUAGAGAAUUGCAUGAGGAAAGAAAAAGAACUGGUUUCAAGCCCUGACCCUUACCACUCACCAGUUCUAUGACCUUUAGUAGGUCACUUCUUGGAGUCUCCAUUUAUGUUCUGUAGAACAGGGAUAAUGAUGCUAACUUUCCAGUUAUUGAGUGCUUAGUGUGUGCUGGGCACCAUGCUUUACUUGAAUUAGCUUCUCAAUUAAACUUCAUCAGAGAGGUGAAAAGACUGGCUUGAGGUCACACAGCUUGUAAGUAGAAAACAGGAUUUAAACUCUGAUCUUUUAAAUCCAAAACCAGAUUGCUUUUCAUCAUGCCUUUUUAUGAAUGUCCUGGGGAUAAAACUGAUAAGGAAGAAGGUCUUUAAUGCAGGGUGGUAUGGAUGCCUAGGAAUGUGAAUGCAGGAUGGAGAACUCUAAAGAGUUUUAGGCAAUCAGAAUAUGAGGUUAACUCCACCUACUGGAAGAGGUAGGUGACCUCUAAGAAAUUUGCUGGGUCCAGAGGCAGCCUGUGGUGCAAAUGUUCUGAGUCGAGAGAACAUAUGAAUUUGCUGAGAACUGACCUCGCUCUUGCAGUUGGAGCACCACACAAGGCUAAGAAGUUUAAGCUGUGAGCCAGAGAGUGACAAGCCUUGCAGCCUGGCUCAGGGAGUCACUACUUUUGUGAAAUGGCAUGAGGAAACUGAUAGGUUUUUUAUGUUGAAAAUAUUUUUGAAGCAAGAAGUCCCAAGAGUAUCUCUGGGGAUUGAAGUGUCCAAAACCCAUCUCAUAGUUUUGCAUCCCUAGCAAAGGACACAUUUUACCUGAUGGUUUCCUUCCACUGUAGCAUCCAGUGAGACAGCCUUUGAAAAGAAGCCAGCAUUGUGUUCUUUGGUAUAAUUCGUUGUUUUUCUGUAGGAGUAGGUUGCCUAGCUCAAGUGGAUGGCAACCUUGUAAAAGUCACUUAUCCUAGUAGCUUCUCAUCUGGAAAUUAGGAAGAAUAAAAGAUCUACCUUGUUGGUUUAUUAGUGGCAACAUUUACACAAUAUCUGGCUACAAAAUAAAUUUUCAGGGAAUAUUAGCUGCUGUUAUUAAUAUUACCUGUCAUUCCAGCUCAUGCCUCUCCAAUGACUAGGCAUUAUUUAUGUAUUGAAAACAAAUUGGGUCUUAGGAACUAACAUUUUGUUAAAGGUCAUGAUUUUAGGAUGUAUAAAGAUAGUAAAACUGGCAGUGAAGAAGGCAAGGAGUACUUUGGUGGGACAGUGCUAGUGUUUCCUACGUGUGAAAUAUAUAACGUGAACAUAAGUGAGUAUGUUGUGUGCGCAAGGACUGUUCUUUCUGUGUGUUCUCCCUGAGAAGUAGGUUCAAGCAUAUCUGUUUUACAGAUAAGGAAGUCAUGGUCUCUUCUAAAGGAAGUCAUGGUCUCUUCUACGAUGUUACCAGACAGCUGUAGACCUGAGCUCUCAACCAUAUGCUUCUCCAAACUAUUUGUGCCCUCAGCAUUGUAAAGGCUUGACUCAUCUCCUAUCAACCUCAGCAGCUCUGCUGCAUGGGGAAAAUGGGAACUGAACCCUUGAUCGUUUUCUAAUUACUGGAUUAAUUGAAAGCACCAGAGAUAGUGUGUCACUAGAUACUUAGUAGAGGCUCAAUAAACACUUGUUGAAGAUAUAAAUCUUAAUCAGAUUGGGCGUGAGGAAAAAGAUACGUAAAAGCAGUAUUAGAUCCUGGCUUCUCAGCCUUUUAUUCCAUUAUUUAAAAAAAUAAAAAAUAAAGAAAUCUAAAGUUACUAAGCAUUUUAUUAGCAUAGACCAUUUAACACAGACUAGUGGUUGGAGUUUGAGGUGAAGAAGUGAAGAAGUGCUCAGUGUGUGUUGCAUGGUAAUAACUCCAAUUUGCACAAUUUAGUUAUCUCUGGAUACCUGCAGAAGCCCCCACUAGCUAAGAAGCUCCAGGCCCUUGUCUAUGUAUUCGACUGAUUAGUUUAUUCUCAAUAAAAACUACUUUUGACAUUAAAAUAUGCAAACCUAAAUAGGAAGGUGUAUGUGUUUCAAAGCAAGAUCUGACUAAUAUUUGUGUUUUCCUGUAGCUCAGAUAAUUAAGUGUUGACAAAAAGAUAAUGCUAUUUAAUGGUAAUAGGCAGAGAAAGAAGGUUACCUUAUAUCCUACAAUACCAAGCCAGCACCAUUUAAUUUGAGAUUUCCUCUCUCUUCCCCAACAGCAGAAAACUAAAAACAAGGCCGGGCACACUGGUGCAGGCCUGUAAUCCCAGUGGCUUGGAAGGUUGAGGCACUAGGAUGGCAAGUUCAAAGCCAGCCUUAGCAACUUACAAGUCCCCAAGCAACUCAGUGAGACCCUGUCUCUAAAUAAAAUAC